rnacentral:rRNA from 1 species
GACGAACGCUGGCGGCGUGCCUAAUACAUGCAAGUAGAACGCUGAAGGAGGAGCUUGCUUCUCUGGAUGAGUUGCGAACGGGUGAGUAACGCGUAGGUAACCUGCCUGGUAGCGGGGGAUAACUAUUGGAAACGAUAGCUAAUACCGCAUAAGAGUAGAUGUUGCAUGACAUUUGCUUAAAAGGUGCAAUUGCAUCACUACCAGAUGGACCUGCGUUGUAUUAGCUAGUUGGUGAGGUAACGGCUCACCAAGGCGACGAUACAUAGCCGACCUGAGAGGGGGAUCGGCCCCACUGGGACUGAAACACGCCCCAGACUCCUCCGGGAGGCAGCAGUAGGGAAUUUUCGGCAAUGGACGGAAGUCUGACCGAGCAACGCCGCGGGAGUGAAGAAGGUUUUGGGACCGUAAAGCUCUGUUGUAAGAGAAGAACGGGUGGGAGGGGGGAAAGUCCCAACGGUGGCGGUAUUUUCCCAAAAAGGGGCGGCUACCUCCGU